ACUCAAAGAAUUGCUGGACAACUGCAAGAGAGAGGGUACAGUGUUUCAAGUAGAGAGGUUGUGAGUGAAUUUGAAAUGGAAAAUUAUAUUAAUUUAAAUGAAGAUACAACGCUGCGCUCGUGUCAAAAGCAUUACCCAUCAUUUCAUUGCUAUCCGCACGCAUAUAUUCAAUAUUUUCCUCAUCCACCCAUGAUUCUACUACUAUGAAAUCGGCUACAAAAGGGGGCACCAAACAUUUGAGUGUCGCAGAGUUGCCACGUAAAACAAAUUCAUCAAUGACACGUGUUUGAUAAAACUGAUGCACAACUAAAUGAAAACGAAACAGAAUGUAUAAUCGUAACAGAGAAAGGGAUAAUUCCUACAUGUUAUGUAUAUGCCCGCUAUACCGAUUUCUGUAUCAGUGCCGGGAUAAUAAUUUCUAUUCUCAGAAUCCAGCCAAAGAUCAACGAAAACAAAAUCGGCAACAUAUGAUGGUAUUUCACAUUUCAUAACAACCGAAUUUCCACGUAUGACAUAUUCAUUAUCAGCCUCCGAUUCAUAACUCUGUAUGACGACUACAUAGGUAAACGAUAGAAUUGUGGUGAGAAAUUGUAAAGAAAUUGAAAAUUAUAUUAAAGAAACAAA